GCACAAAUUUGCUUGCUGGCAACCAUGUGAGAUGGGACUUUCUCCUCCUUGACUUUCGCCAUGAUUGUGAGGCCUUCCCAGCCAUGUGGAACUAUCACUCAUUCUGGGGGCAGCCCUCUGGCAUGUAAUGAGCAGUCCUAUGGAGAGGCCCAUGUGACAGUAGCCAUGCGAGUGACACUGGAAGUGAAACCUGCAGCUCCAGUCAAGCCUUUAGAAGACUGCAGCCCUGGCUGACAGCUUGACAGCAAACUCAUGAGAGACUCUCAGCUUGAACAACUCAGCUAAACUGUUCCUGGGUUCCUGGUCCUCAAAAACUGUACGAGAUGAAAAAAAAGUUUGUUUUUUUAAGCUGCCAAGUUUUGGGAUAAUUUGUUAUUCUAAUAUAUUUUUUAAUACCUGGAAGUAAGGUGCUACCAUAAUAAAUACCUAAAAUGUAGGCACAGCUAGGAAACUAGACAGUGGAGGUAGCUGGAAAGAAUUUAAGAAGCAUAGCAGUGAAAGUCUCAGGAGCCUUGAACAAAACAUUAGAAAAACUUUGGACUUUGACCAGGCUGCUGGUGGAGGUUUAAAAGAAAGUGAGAAAAAUCUUGUUGAAAACAGAACAGGGAAUCCUUACUAUGGAGUGGCAUAAAUCUUAGCAAUAUUGUUGUCUGCAAUAAUGUGGGUGGUGGGAAUGUACCUGGUAAACUGGGUGAUCUAAUUUGCUAUUCAUAAAGACAUAAAGAUUCUCAGCUUUUACAGAUGGUGAAAAAUGCUAAAUUAAGAAAUGGCUGAAGGACAGAGGUCAAAUCCUGGGCACCAUCAUGAAAACAUAAUCCAAAGAUGAAGCUGAGAUGUGACUAUAAAUCCUUUGUUAUGACCUCAGAAAGAUCAAAAGUGGUGCCUCAGAGUACCAGUUUGGUCACACAAAGGCCCUCUAAAGUUUUUAAGGCUGUGACUCACAGAUUCUUUCAAAAACAGGGCUCCUGAGAAGCUUAAGAGCAUAGUUUUUCAGCAGAAUCACAAGGUGGGAAAGGGAUUAUCUCAAAAAGAUUUUUGGGCGUGACUUUUGUCUAAUGGAAUGGACCCCCAAAAAUUCAUAGGUGAUUCACAAAUUUUUUAAAAGAAUUAUAUUAGUAGAAACAUUGCCAACUAGAACUCAAAGGGAUAGAGACAGUAUGAAAUGAAAAAAGGCCUUGGUACUCACUUUGCCCCUGUUUCACUGCAGGUUAAGAAAAAAUUUCAGCUGCAUACAUGUACUAACUUUCAUGAAAAAGAAAGAAUAGCUAAGCAUGGUGACUCACUCCUGUAACCCCAGCACUUUGGGAGGACAAGGUGGGAAGACCACUUGAGCCCAGGAGUUUGAAUCAGCCUGGGCAACAUAGCAAGACUCUGUCUCUUUUUAAAAAAGGAUGACUCUGAAGGGGAAGCUAAAAGCCUCAGAGAAUAACUCAUGCGUAGAAAUAGGACUAAAUCCUAAGGCGAUUCCAACAUUUGCCUGGCUGGAUUUCAGAGCUGCUAUGGGGACAUAGUAGUGUGUCCAGUACCUUUCCUUUUUGAAUAUUAAUGCAUAUAGUGUUUAUUCCUGUUCCACCAUUGUGUGUUUGGGGUGUGUGUGUGUGUGUGUGUGUGUCUAUGUGUGUGCGUGUUAGUUUCAGAUUGAGAGGAAUUAUACCCAAGGAGCUAGAGUUAAGAAAUUAUACCUAAGGAACCUCUUGUGUACCUGGUCCUGAUUUAAAUGACAAGACUCUAGACUUUGAGUUGAUGCUGUAAUGAGACAAGAAUUUUAGAAAUGUUGAGAUGGAGUGGACGUGUUUUGCAUGUUGGAGGGACUUGAUUCACUGGAGCCUAGAAGGCAGACUAUGGUAGCCAGCCCUCAAGAUUGUCUCCUCCUGGUAUUCAUACCCUUGUAUAAUUCCCCUCCCACAUUGUACCAGAAUUUAUCUGUGUGACAGAAUAUGGCAGAAGUAAUGAUAUGUCACUUCUGAGAUUAGGUUAUAAAAGACAUUGUGGCUACCAUCUCUCAUCACUCACUCAAAGGGAAGCCAACCACCAUGCAAUGAGAAUCUCAGGUAAUGAGGACCUGAGACCUGUUGUCAAUCACGUGAAUAAGCUUGGGAGGAGAUUCUCCAGCCCCAGUCAAGCCUCAGAAGACUUCAGCCCUAGGUGACAGCUUGAUGAUAAUCUCGGGAGGCAGAACCACCCAACUAAGCCACUCCUGGAUUCCUGACCCUGACCCUGACCCUAGAAACAGUGUGAGCUGGAAUUCUGUGAAGCACAUGACCUCAAGUCUUUGGAUAAAUGGAAACGCAGCUUAUGCCGGAAAGGUAAAAUCUUGAUUCUUUUCUUUUAUUAAUUUUGAGAGUAGGCCAGGAACAGUGGCUCCCACCUGUAAUCCCAGCACUUUGGGAGGCCAAGGCAGGUGGAUCACUUGAGGUCAGGAGUUUGAGACCAGCCUGGCCAACAUGGUGAAACCCCAUCUCUACUAAAAACACAAAAUUAGCUGGGUGUGGUGGCGUGCACCUGUAAUCCCAGCUACUCAGGAGGCUGAGGCAGGAGAAUCGCUUGAACCCAGGAGGCAGAGGUUGCAGUGAGCUGAGAUCACACUACUGCACGCUAACCUGUGCAACAGAGGGAGACUUCAUCUCAAAACAAACACAAAAAAAAUUGAGAGUAGAGUUGGUGCCCUAGCCAACUCAGAUGGUGACCAAUGCGUUGAUCCCUGAGUAUUGUUGUGAACUACUGAAUGUUUAUAUAUUUAUGUUUCAAGCAGUGAUAUUGUUCCUUUUGGCUUGAAUUGUCACAACUUUGCCAGCAGAAGCCUUUUCAGUUUAGGUCCUGUGUACUUUUGACAUGACCUCUUUAAAGUUUGAUUAUUUCCCUGCUUUCUGGCAGAAAAUUAUGUCUUACUCAUUUUGUAAAUGUCCUGAUGUGGACCUAAAAUCAACUAUUUCUCAAAAGGAAUUUCUUUUAGUGGAGAAUGAUAUUUAAAAAUCACAAUUCAGGCACUAAAGGGGAUUUUACUCUUGAACAAGAGCUGAUUGCAAUCACGUAGGUUUUUCUUGGUGCCAUUUCAAUUUUCUAGCUGUGCACUAAUAGUUAUAAAUGUUUUUCCUGCAAAUUCUUUGAGAGAAAAUAUCAUUAUUGCAAAUAUAAAACUUGGUAUUCUUGACUCCAUUUUUCCUUAGGAAAAAUUUUUUUCUGCUUCUUUGAUAACAUAAAUAUUCUUUAGAAAUAAAACUAUUUAGUUUAGCCAAAUGAGUAGAGAAGUGAACGGGUAGAAGUACUAGGGAACUACCCUAGAUAUUUCAAAAUGCUCAACUACAAGGUUUUGGACUCAGAAGCUAUGCUUCAAAAUUUGUUUCUGUUUUCAAGUAUUAACAAAUUUAAAAGCAUAAACAUUUGUUCAUUUUUUGGUAGGAACCUUAAUGUUUUCCAUUUUGUAGAUUAUUUUAGGUAUAUGGAUAUUAACUAUUUUGUUUCUAUCCUUGGUUCAGAAAUCUGUUCAUUUUAUUUGUGGCUGUCAUUUGCAAUUCUUUAAAUUAACACAUGAAAAGAGAUCCAAUUCCAACUUUAUUAGUAGACAAAUGAUAUGCAAAUUAAAACAAGAAUAUUUUUAUUACAACAAAUUAGCAAAGACCUAAAAAAUUAUACUCCAUUCCAGGAAGUUUUAAAUGACAGUCUCACUUUUUUAUGCAUGCCCUGCUAUCAAGUUUCUGGGUUUUGGGUUUUUUUCUACUCGAUAUGUCUCCCAUUUUCUCCCUUCCUCAAUUACAGUAUCAGGGUCCCCCUCACCAUGCCCUCUAUUCUGACCUGCCAGGGUUGAACAGACACAAAGAUGCCCAGCAUAAAAUUCAGGAGCCCAUGAAUUAUUCUCUGUAAAGGGCCAGAUAGUAAAUAUUUCAACCUGUGAGAGCUAAGCAGCAAAAUCAAGAUAUUAUGUAAGUGCUAAGAGUACAGUAGCUCACGCCUAUAAUCCCAGCAUUUUGGGAGGCUGAGGCAGGAGGAUUUCUUGAGCUCAGGAGUUUGAGUCUAGCCUGAGCAACACAGUGAAACACCAUCUCUCUCACUCUUAAAAAAAAAAAAUGGUAGCUUGCACCUAUAGUACCAGCUACUCAGGAGGCUGAGGCAGGAGGGUCACUUCAGCCCAGGAGGUUAAGGCUGCAGUGAGCCAUGAUCAUGCUCUUGUAUUCCAGCCUGGACAACAAAGUAAGACUGUAUCUCAAAAAAUAAAUAAAAAAUAAAUAUAAAAUGUCACCAUUAAAGAUGUAAAAAUCUACUUUUAGGUUGGGGAGCUAUACCAAAAUAGGCAGCAGGCUAUAUACAGUUACCAACCCCCGGCUUAGAUACUCCUCAGAAAGGACUUAUUGCUCAGCUGAGAGGAGGAGUAUUAUCUAACAGCCCCCAGCAAUGAGUUUCAUCACGGUCCACUCCUCAACCCACCCUGCCCCUCCUCUAAACCCAUUCCACCUCUCCCAGUCAAUGACGGAGAGAGGCCUGGUCUCCUGCCGACAGCCAGCAAGGAAAAGCAACCUGAGUCCUAUAGCUGUAAGGAACGACAUUCUGCCAACAACCAGAAUGAACUAGAAAGUGGAUUCUUCCCCAGAGUCUCAAAAUAAGAGUCCAGCUCACACCUUGACUUGGGCUUUCUAAACAGAGAACCAGCCAAAUUAACCCAGAUUUCUGAAGUAUAGACCUAUGAGAUAGUAAAUGGGAGUUAUUUUUAGCUGCAAAGUUUGCAGUAAUUUGUUAUAUAGUAAUAGAAAAUUAAUAAACUGAGAAUUGUAGUUUGCAGAGGAUAGCCCCUGUAACAUGGAACAGACAGGGGAAAGACAAUGAAUGGAUCUGGGAGCAAAUAAGCCAAUGGCCAGACAGACCUUAUCACAACUUUGUUUUGUACAUCCUUUAGCCUAGAUGUUUUUGGCAUGUAUGGCUCACUCUACGUUGUCUCAAUGAGUAAAGAGAUUUAUUUGUGAUGAUGACUGGGAUGUUAGGGAUUUCGGCUAAUUAUUGUUAGUUUUAUUGGAGAAAGACUUUGUUAAUUGGUGAAUGGCUAUGUGAGCCUUUUCUUUCUGUCUGAUUCUCUCCCCUCUGCUGUGGUGUUUGCAAUUGAGGAACAGCUACUAAGAGGUGGCAGCUGCAGAGAAAAGUCCAGAGCCAUACAGAUGAGGCUGGGAACUCUGACUAGCACUGAGUAUUUGAAAGAGAGCUUGGCGAAAGUCUGUUACUACAUGUAGCAGAUACCUGUGACUGCAUAUAGGGAGUGAAGGAGACAGCCAAAAGUGCACUUGAGGAUAACAAAUGGCCAGCCCCUACAUGAUCACUCAUGAAAAUCCAACAGAACCCAGAAGUCUCACUUAGCUUUAAAAAAUCCAUUAUUUUUUUCAGACAGAAGCACUUAGGGAAGCAAAAUGGCUUAUUUCAGCAUGAGAAAGCAAUGUAACAGUACAGCUAAGCUUUGAGGGUCUCCUGAUCAAAAAUUUGUGAGACUAAUAGCUUACACAGGAAAGAGAUGAUAGCCCUUUUGAAUGCCUUCUGAGCGCUCUUACGAGAUGCGCAAUCUAAUUGUGGUGUAAAUACCAGCUAUUGAUGGUGGGUUUUGUUCAUCGGGUUUGUGCUACCACAGUACCAGAGGUCUGUAUCUAUUAGUGCUAGUAAUGUAUGGAUGACCAGGGCUGGUGCAGACAUCUCUGCAGCAAUAAUAAAAGGUAAGAAGAUGCAGACAAAGCUGAAUUUAUUGUGUUUGAGAAGAUAUAGAAUUCAAUUUCCCUGAUAACCAAGCUUAAUUGCACAGAAUUAUGAGAGCUCAUUAAUGAAACCCAAUAUAGACAGUUUAUAUUAGUAAUGGCAUUACAUUGAUUAUCUAAUUUCAGAGUAAGGAAUUAAAGGGGGCCAAAUUAGGGAUUAUUCUGCUUUUACGUAACACCUGUAGUCAGGAAAAAUAAAUAGCUCCCGUUAUUAAACUAAAGCUUUUGUAUACAAAAGAAUGCUAGAUAAUAAAUGUAGAAAUAAUGAUGGAAAUAGAAAAUAUUUUUGCAAGACAUUAUGAAAUAAUCAAUCCAAACAAGGAUCAAUAAUGAAUGCUAAAACUGUUAGUUGAACAGUCAACAGAGAACCAGAUAUUCAAAAAGCACCAAAGUAUCACCCUUAAAAUAACAAGUAAUUUGCUAUUACUUGUUUAUAGCAAACGGAGGAAAAAGUACCCUUUACCAUGGAGAAAUAUGGCUAUUAUCACUAGGUAACUUACUAUCUGAUUGUCCCACUAUUAAUGAUGCUGUGUGACUUCUGAGGUAAUGCUUUAUAAAUUAUAUGACAGCACCUGUCAAUAAUAUUUAAGAGAUAAUGUUUAAGAUGGAAAUGGAAUCUAAAGGCUGGAUUAGAUUCAAGUUAAAGGAAAUUCAAAGCAGAGAAGAACAAAUUAAGGUACACUUGAACACAUUCAGAAUAUGGGACAGAAUAAGACAGCUGUUCUGGUCUCAAAAAAAAAAGUUAAUGACAAGGAAAAAAGGAAGAGGAGCUAGGUUAAGGGACUAAACAGGCAAAACCAAUUCAACAUGGGAUUCUUGAGUGGAUUUUGGUUUUUAAAAAAGCUUUAAAAACACUUUGGGUUAAUGGUGAAUUUUGAAUAUGGAAUAUUCAAAUAUCAGGCAGGGUCCUCGCAGGAAACCGAUGGCAAACUCAAAAGAACUUAAUCAUGAAUCAGUUAAAGAAGGGACUAUUGAGGGAUGUAGGCAGAGCUAAUGGAAUCAAUAGGGGGUGCUGAGGCACCCAGGGCGCAGCAGGGAAGCUGUCACCAACUGCUGUUAGACCCAAAGGAGCAGGCAUGGGGGCAGUUAUGAGUGUCUAGUCACAGCUGGAGCUGCUGAACAGAGUACAGCUUCACAAGGGAUACAGUGGCAGAUGCAGCCAGUACCGGACAAGGAACUCAGCAGGGAGGAGCAGAGAGAGUAUCCCAGCCACUCUCCCACCCUCUGAUCUCUUGCCAGGGCUCACCAUUGGCCUCUGAUGCCUUGUAGGUGCCUCCAGUUGGCUGACCCCAGUUGGAGUCCUGGCCACCCAUGGCAGUCUGUAGAAAUAAGCCUUUUGGAGCUGAGAGCAAAACAGAAAAAAGUGGAGAAUGCAUCUGGAGGUAGAAGGCAAAGGGAGAAUAAAGCACGACAAGUACAGAGUAGAUUAGAGAAUUACUGUUGAUUGUUAGAUGUAAUUGUCUUGUGAGAUCAGAGAAUGCUCAGUUUUUUUGUUUUUUUUUUAGAUGUACAUUGAACUAUUAAGGAAUAAAAUGUCAUAAUGCCUCAUUCAUUCUGAACUGAUUCAGCAAGAGAGACAGAUAGAUAAGUAGGUAGAUAGACUAGAUAUACAAAGCACAUAUAGACACAAGCUUUUUUCUUAUUUAUUGCUACCAACUUCAUGCAUCCAGCCUCCAAUCGUGUCAUGCCUAAAGAAACAAUCCCUGCCCCCGUUUCUUAGACCCAGUACCUGGCACAUGAUAAACGAUAAAAAAUAAGUUCUUACCCAUGCAUCCCUUUUUCAGUGGGAAUUAUACUUCUUGGCUGCCCCCUACACACUUCUAUUAUAAAGAAAUUUAUAUUGUUAUAUUUUUUCACCACAAGAAAAAUUAUCAGGUUUAAAGAGGGGGAUUAACUAAUGAUAAAGGUGUAAACAGUGCAAGAAGACUUAAUUAUUCUUAGCGUGUGUGUGGCUAACAACAGAGCACUAAAAUGAGUGAGGCAGAAACAGAUAAAAGUGCAAGGAGAAAUAGAUAAAUCCAGUAUCAUAGCUGGAGAAUCCAACACACCUUAAUAAGAAAUGGACAGAUCCAGCAGGCAGGAAAUCAGUGAGGACAUAGCUGAACUCAGUAGCAGUACCAAUCAACUAGAUAUGAUUGAUAUCGGUAGACUGUUUCACCUUACACAUUCUUCUCAAGCUCACAUGGAACAUUCACCAUAAUACACCACAUUCUAGGCCAUAAAAUGCACCUUAACAGUUUAAAAGACUAGAAAUCACACAUCUGCUUUCAGACCACAUUGUAAUUAAACUAGAAAUCAAUAACAGAAAGAUAGAGGCCUCAGCUCCUGCUGAUGAAAAAAUAAUAACUGAAGGAUAGCUAGAAAAUCCCAAAUACUUGGAGAUUAAGAAACACUCUUCUAAAUAAUAUAUGGAUAAGAAAAAAAUCUCAAGAGAACUUAAAAAAUGUUUCAAACUAAAUGAAAAUGAUAAUACAACUCAUUAAAAUUUGCAUAAUGCAGCAAAAACAGUACUUGGAAGGAAAUCUAUAGCAUUGAAUACAUAAACUAGAAAGGAAGAAAGAUCUACAAUAAUCUAAACUUCUAUUUUAGAAAACUUAAAAAUAAGAGCAAACCAAAUGCCAAAUAAGGAGAAGAAAAGACAAUGAAGAAUUAGAGCAGAAAUCAGUGAAAUGGAAAAUAGGAAAUUAAUAGACAAAAUCAAAAGUUAGUUCUUUAAAAAGAAUAUUAAAAUUGGUUACUCUCUAGGCCAAGAAAAAAAGAGAAGACACAAAUUAGAGUUGUCCCAUGAUAUCCCUGGGGAAUUGUUCCAGGACCCAACAUGGAUACCAAAAUUUAUGGAUGCUCAAAUCUCUUACAUAAAAUGGCACAGUAUUUACAUAUAGCCUACACACAUCUUCUCUCAUGCUUUAAAUCAUCUCUAGAUUACUUUUAAUACCUCACACAAUGUAAAUGCUAUGUAAAUAAUUGUUACAAUGUACUGUUUUAAAAUCUGUAUUAUUUUAUUCUAUUUUUAUUUUUGCUUUUCAAAAAAUACUUUUGAUCCAUGGCUGGUUGAUUUUAUGAAUGGGGAACCCAUGAAGAUGGAAGGCUGGCUGUACUAAUAUCAGAAAUGGAAGAGGAGAGACAUCACUAGAGAUCCCAUGGAUAUUGAAAGGAUAAUAAAGGAGUAUUAUGAGCAUUGUUAUAUUUUAUGUCUCCUAUAAGCUGUAAAUUCCUACAUAGCAAGAAUUCUGUCUUACUCAUCCUUUAACAACUACUGUGUACCUUAUAAUGUUUCAUAAAAUAUUAUGAUUUGGUUUUAUUAUUCACAAAAGAAUGCUAUAAGAGGUGAAAAAUGGAGAGGCUAGAAAGCAUAAAAACAAGUUACAUCAGGUGGUAGAGCCUGGUUUAAGGGUCAAAGAUAAAAGAAGGGAAGGUUAAGGGCAGGGCUUUAGAGGGAGAGAGGAUAAACACAGUUUGAUUAAAUGGCUGAUUCAGCCGGGUGUGGCGGCUCAUGCGUAUAAUCCCAACACUUUGAAAGGCUGAGGCAGGAGGAUUGCUUGAGCCUAGGAGUUCAAGACCAGCCUGGGCAACAUGGAGAAAUCCUAUCUCUACCAAAAUACAAAUACAAAAACAAAAAUUAGCCAGGUGUGGUUAUAUACACCUGUAGUCCCAGCUGCUUGGGAGGCAGAGGUGGGAGGAUUGGUUAGGUCUAGGAAGUUGAGGCUGCAGUGACCUAUGAUUGCUCCACUGCACUCUAGCCUUGGUGACACAGAGAGAUCCUGUCUCAAAACAAAAACAAACAACAACAACAAAAAACAUAUAUAUAUAUAUAUGAGGUUUAUCCACAGUAAAGUUCAGUCUAGGGUUAAUAAAAGAUUCUAGGGUUCACUAAGACAAAGAGUAGUCGCAGUAGCAGAGCCUUGGGUGAAGCUAAGGUCCCCAGGAGAUCUGGGAUGUCUGUGAGGAACAGUGAGGCUUAGUCAUUCAGACAAGCCAGCAGAAGUGAAGUUUAGAGAAUGUGGAUGGGCCUCAGGCUCUAGACAUCAAAACAAACAGAUAGAAAAGGCAGAGUGUAGAAUCCAGACAGUGAGGCUCACAACAAGGUAUGCAAUUCUGCAUAAGCAGAUUUGAGGGGACACCAACUAUGGACUGAUGUAGAUAAAUAUUUCUGGUAAUUCCAGUUAGUGAUUCACUCUGAACUCACAUAGGAUAGUAUCUCUUCAAAGGCACUUGUGUUGUAAUUAAAUGCACACAUAAGACAUAAUGCUUAUUGAGCCCUUAGCAUGUACCACCCACUCUUAUGCAUACUAUAUGUUUAAACCAUUUAAACUCACACCAACCCCCUGGGGGUAGGUAGUAUUAUUAUCCCUGUUACAGAUAAGGAAAGUGAGAAGUAGGAGUUAAUUGGUCUCAUGAUCCCCUACAGGCUGGCCUUCCAGAAAAAGGAGGUAACUUGCCCCAGGAUACCCUGGAAACCAAUCAGAAUGAAUUGCCUUAAACUCUGGCUUGUAGCCCAAAGCAAGGCUUGCCCACAAGUCUUGCCAGUAUGUGGUUGAACAGAAAUUAGAAUCCAGACAGCCUGAGUCCUUUUCUUGCCAGGCAGGGGCUGGGGCUUCCCCAACCAUGAAAGUUCAGGUGGUAGAUCCUGCCACUGCUUUGCACACCAGCUCCCUGGUGCUAACCUCAACUGCCAGUGCUGAGCUGGAAGGAUAGGGCUGGAGGCAAACUCCUACCCCAUCAUGUUGCUGGUGUAUUCCAUCCUGGUAUUGGUCACACCAAGGAAGGGCCUGGACUUUCCUAAUCAUGCAGCUUAAAAGCAACACAAGGCAAGGCGGGGAGUCCGCUCUCCUGAAGUCUGACAUCCAGGAAGACCAGAUUGCUAUGUGCUGUCUUUGACUUACUUGGAGACUCACACACCUACACUAGUGCCCCCUUAUCUGAGGGGGAUGCAUUCCAAGACCCCCAGUGGAUGCUUGAAACCAUAAAUAAUACCAAACCCUACAUAUACUAUGUUUUUUCAUAUAUAUACCUAUGAUAAAAUUUAAUUUAUAUAAUAGAUUAGGCAGAGACUAAUAACAAUAACUAAUAAUAAAAUAGAAGAAUUAUAACAACAUACUAUAAUAAAAGUUAACGUGAACAUUGUUUGUCUCAAAAUAUCUUAUUGUAUGUAAUAUUUUUGGACUGUGGUUGUUCAUAGCAAGUGAAAACUCAGAUGGGGGAGGGUGGCAUACUGUAUUUAUUUUCCUGUAUCCAUUAGUGUUUCCCAGUGAACACUGCACCAGGAGGUUGGCCAUUUGUCUUUAUUUAUACAUCAAACUAAGGCAUGGAGAAUAAGAGCUUGGUAAGGUCAUAUAGCCAGGAGGUGGUUGAACUGAGAUUCAAACUGAGACAGUCUGAGUCCAAAUUCUACCACCUCUUGUGUGUGACAUUUAAUGGAUAGGUGGGCUUUUGUAACCAGUGUCUCUGCCUUUCUCCAUGAUUCACAGCACAGAAACUUGUGCAUACAUUCUCACUUGAUAUCUGAAUGACUGUAACAGUGAUGUAAAUUAACAAGGAAGGGAGAUAGCCCUGAUUUAAUUGGAAAUCACUGACAGAGCUCGCCCAGUAAACUCUCUACAAACAGAAUACAAAUGUUUUGUAUUUAAUUGCUAAAGUGUUUUAAAAUUGAACUCAAAUUAAUAAAUACUUAUUGUAUCUGUCAGUUAAACGAAACAACCAAUAAACAACCAACUCUGUUUUCUAAUCAAGAGGGACUGAUCCUUUAAAAAAAAUAGGGUUUAAAAAAGAUGAUAUGAUCAAUGUAAAAUUGGAUUAUAGACUUUUAGAGUCUUAAAAGAUGAGAAAAGAGAUAAAGAUGAAUAGAUAUGGAGUAACUAGGAUAAGACUCUCUCACAAACUGGACCUUAAACAGAUUUAGGAAGAAAUAUAGGAUUAGGAUAGAGAAAAAGAAGAGAAAGAAUUGCCUAUAGGCAUAAUAAAAAGCACAAGUGUAUCAAUCAACACAGGGUAUUGUGGACCAGUGAGGAAGGAUCAUGAUCUAGACUAGGGGAUUCAUGUUGGAAACAGUGAGACAAGUUAGAAAGGAUAGGAUGGGACAUAUUAUAUGGUUCCAAACAUAAUAAAUGAGCACUUGAGCUAGAAAGUAGUAUAAUGUUCACAGGUGGUAAAGAGGUAUAAUGAAAAAACUAUACUUCACAAAAAUUAGUGGUGUUCAGUGGGUUGGAGAGAAGACCAAUUAGAAGGUUAUCUGUGGAAUUACAACAACCCAGUGAAUUGAGCUGAUGGAGAGAGAUGCUCCUCCCACUACCAACACUCAAACAUAAGGCAAAAAUAUUUAUAGGUGAUGAGUAAUGAUGAAAAAACAAAAGAACAAAUGAUAGAUGACAUGAAGAAUGGGAGUAGGGAAGACCAUAUUUAAGACUCUGAGGUCAUUAAAUGAUGUAACAUGUUUACUAGCCCAAAAAUAUAUACUAAAAGAGUAGAAAGAAAACAAAAAAUUUCCAAAUCAGUAGCAAGGAUCAAGAAAACAAUCCAAAUGGAAGGAAAGAACAAUGUCCCUUGGAACAUAACAAUAGAACAUAAUAUGAACAGUACCUCCUUCUAUGUAGUGUAGAUAUUAAACAUAGGGUGGGAAGUACACAUAUCAAUUUCAAAAUAGUGGUUUAAUCUGAAAUUGUUAAACAGAGAGGGAGGGAAGCAAUAGAACUGAGAGAGCGUUCAAAAGCCUUUUGUUGUAUCUGUAGAGUCUUUUAUUUCUUAAAAAUACAAUCGUAUACCACAUGAUAACAUUUUGGCCAAUGGACUACACAUAUGACAUGGUCCCAUAAGAUUAUAGUACUGUCUUUUUACUGUACCUUUUCUAUGUUUAGAUAUAUUUACAUAUACAAAUACCACUGUUAAAUUGCCUACAGUAUUCAGCACAGUAACAUGCUGUGCAGGAUUGUAGCCUAGGAGCAAUGGGCUACACCAUGUGGCCUAGGUGUGUCGUAGGCUCUACUAUUUUGGUUUGUAUAAGUACACUCUAUGAUGUUCACACAAUGAUGAAAUCACCUAACGAUGCAUUUCUCAGAAUAAGUUUCUGUUGUUAAGCAACCCAUGAUUGUAUCUGAAGCAAAUAUCUAUAUCUCCUUAUUAAACCUUAGGGUAAGUACAUAAAUUAGAGAAUAAGUAUAUUAUUCUCUAAUUUGCUAUUGUAUUAUAUAUAAUAUAUGUAUAUGUAUACUAUGUAUAUAUUAUACAUAGUAUACAUGUAUAAUAUACAUAUAUAGUAUAUGUAUAUUAUAUAAUAUACAUAUAAUAUAUAUAAUAUAUAAAAAUAUAUAAUAUAUAUAAUAUAUAUAAUAUAUAAAAAUAUAUAAUAUAUAUAAUAUAUAUAAUAUACAAUAUAUAUAAUAUAUAUAAUAUACAAUAUAUAUAAUAUAUAUAAUAUACAAUAUAUAUAAUAUAUAAUAUAUAUUAUAUAUAUAAUGUUAAUAUAUAAUAUAUAUAAUUAUAUAUAUAUAAUGUAUACAUAUGUUAUAUACAUAUAUAAUGCAAUAGAAAAUUAGAGAAUAAUAUACAUUUGUGUACUUAGCCUAAGGUUUAAUAAGGAAAUAUAGAUAUAUUAUACUAUAUUAUAUAUGUAGUAUAAUAUUUGAAAAGCUAUUAAAGUAAUUGAAGCCUGAGGUGAAGGCUCUAGUUUAAUGUUGCACAAGAGGGAGUCCUCCAACAUGACUUUCUGCACCUCCAUCCCUGGCAGAAAUCCCCUAAAUAAUAUCCAUGGAGCUGGUGUGGCAACUAGAUAUGAGGUUACACAUUCACCAAGUCUCAAAGAUGUGUACCUUCUUACUGUUACUAACAGUUUAAGAUUCAACAGUCAAGCUCUGUACCAAAAAAGACAAGGUCCAGGGGAUUUAUUCUGUAAUCUGUUUAUAGUGCCCUCUAGUGGCAGCUCUGCAGAGAUCUAACGCAGAACUCACUUUUUUUGUGUUGAAUAUUAACUUUGUAUCUAUUUUUCAAUGUAUUAACAUAAAUUGGAUUUUGUUUUUGUUACUAAG
rnacentral:lncRNA from 1 species